UACGGGGGGGGCAAGCGUUGUUCGGAAUUACUGGGCGUAAAGGGCGCGUAGGCGGUCUGCUAAGUUGGAUGUGAAAACUCUGGGCUUAACCCAGAGCCUGCAUUCAAUACUGACAGGCUAGAGUUCUGGAGGGGAUAGCGGAAUUCCUGGUGUAGCGGUGAAAUGCGUAGAUAUCAUGAGGAAGACCAGUGGCGAAGGCGGGUCUCUGGACAGUUCCUGACACUGAGGCACGAAGGCCAGGGGAGCAAACGGG
rnacentral:rRNA from 1 species